AUUGAACGCUGGCGGCAGGCUUAACACAUGCAAGUCGAACGAGUGGCCGACGGGUGAGUAAUGUCUGGGAACCUGCCUCAUGGUGGUGGAUAACUUCUGGCAACGGUAGCUAAUACCGCAUACCAUCAGAUGUGCCCAGAUGGGCUUAGCUUGUUGGUGGGGUAACGGCUCACAAAGGCGACGAUUCCUAGCUGGUCUGAGAGGCUGACCAGCCGCACUGGAACUUGGACACGGUCCAGACUCCUACGGGAGGCAGCAGUGGGGAAUAUUGCACAAUGGGCGCAAGCCUGAUGCAGCCAUGCCGCGUGUAUGAAGAAGGCCUUCGGGUUGUAAAGUACUUUCAGCGGGGAGGCGUUACCCGCAGAAGAAGCACCGGCUAACUCCGUGCCAGCAGCCGCGGUAAUUC
rnacentral:rRNA from 1 species